rnacentral:piRNA from 1 species
UGAUGUCACAGAACUCUGAGCCU